GGUCCCGCCUGCCCAGUGACUCUUUAAACGGCCGCGGUAUCCUAACCGUGCAAAGGUAGCAUAAUCACUUGUCCCCUAAAUAGGGACUGGUAUGAAUGGCUAAAUGAGGACUAAACUGUCUCUUGCGGACUGGCCAAUGAAAUUGAUUUUCCAGUACAAAAGCUGGAAUGUACCCAUAAGACGAGAAGACCCUGUGGAGCUUCAAAACCAAAUCACCCAGCAUGUUCAUUGGAUUUUUAGUUGGGGCGACUUCGGAAUAUAAUAAAACUUCCAAAAUAAAUUAAUUUCAUCAAGGUUAACACACCAAAAUUUCUUUAUAGAUCCAGCAAAUAAUUUUAUUUAUCUGAUCAAUGAACCAAGUUACCCCAGGGAUAACAGCGCAAUCUCCUUUUAGAGUCCAUAUCGACAAGGGGGUUUACGACCUCGAUGUUGGAUCAGGACACCCCAAUGGUGCAGCCGCCAUUAAAGGUUCGUUUGUUCAACGAUUAACAGUCCUACGUGAUCUGAGUUCAGACCGGA
rnacentral:rRNA from 1 species